CGUGCCUUUAGGUUCGGAAUAGCUCCUGGAAACGGGUGGUAAUGCCGAAUGUGCCCUUCGGGGGAAAGAUUUAUCGCCUUUAGAGCGGCCCGCGUCUGAUUAGCUAGUUGGUUGAGGUAACGGCUCACCAAGGCGACGAUCAGUAGCUGGUCUGAGAGGAUGGCCAGCCACAUUGGGACUGAGACACGGCCCAAACUCCUACGGGAGGCAGCAGUGGGGAAUCUUGCGCAAUGGGCGAAAGCCUGACGCAGCCAUGCCGCGUGAAUGAUGAAGGUCUUAGGAUUGUAAAAUUCUUUCACCGGGGACGAUAAUGACGGUACCCGGAGAAGAAGCCCCGGCUAACUUCGUGCCAGCAGCCGCGGUAAUACGAAGGGGGCUAGCGUUGCUCGGAAUUACUGGGCGUAAAGGGCGCGUAGGCGGACAUCUAAGUCAGGGGUGAAAUCCCAGAGCUCAACUCUGGAACUGCCUUUGAUACUGGGUGUCUUGAGUGUGAGAGAGGUAUGUGGAACUCCGAGU
rnacentral:rRNA from 1 species